AUUCAGCUGAUGAGUCCCAAAUGGGACGAAUCGCACGUUCUGGAU
rfam:Schistosoma mansoni strain Puerto Rico chromosome 1, complete genome